AUGGAGGAGAAUAAAGAAAAUUCCAGCCCUUCAGUCACAUCAGCAAACCUGGACCCUACAAACCCAUGUUGGUACUGGGAUAAGGAGGACUUGGCCCAUACACCCUCACAACUUGAAGGACUUGAUUCAACUACUGAGGCCCGGUACCGCCAAGAGGGUGCUCGAUUCAUCUUUGAUGUGGGUAAAUGUUUGGGGUUACACUAUGAUACCCUGGCAACUGGAGUCGUCUAUUUUCAUCGAUUCUAUAUGUUUCAUUCCUUCAAGCAAUUCCCACAAUAUGUAACUGGAGCUUGUUGUCUCUUUCUGGCUGGGAAAGUAGAGGAAACGCCAAAAAAAUGUAAAGAUAUCAUCAGAACGGCUCGAAGUUUAUUAAACGAUGUCCAGUUUGGUGAGUUUGGAGAAGACCCACAGGAAGAAGUCAUGGUGCUGGAGAGGAUCUUACUGCAGACCAUAAAGUUUGAUUUACAAGUGGAGCAUCCCUACCAGUUCCUACUGAGAUAUGCAAAGGAGCUCCGAGGAGAUGAAAACAAAAUUCAUAAGAUGAUUCAGAUGGCAUGGACAUUUAUAAAUGACAGUCUCUGUACCACCUUGUCACUACAGUGGGAGCCGGAGAUCAUCGCUGUAGCAGUGAUGUAUCUUGCGGAACGUUUGCACAAAUAUAAAAUACAAGAGUGGACCUCCAAACCCAGGUACAGCAGAUGGUGGGAACAGUUUGUUGAAGAUGUCCCUGUUGAUGUUCUGGAAGACAUCUGCCACCAGAUCCUUGAUCUUUACUCACCAGAGAAGCAACAGAUGCCUCACCCCAGCUCUGAUCAGCUGCAGCAGCCUACAUCUCUUCAGGCUGCACCACCAGUGCCACAAAUAGCAAAGUCGCAGCCAUCUCAAGGCUCUGAAGCAGCACAGCCUCAUCAGAAGGACUCCCAGCAGUCGGCCCAGCAGCAGCAGUGGCAGGGAGCACAGCAGCCCAGGAAAGAGUACCCACAGCUCAAGUACCACAGUGCUCAAGACCUGGUGAUUUCUACCAAGGAAGAGAACAAAGUCACAGAACCACCACCUAAUCCCAAACUUGAGACCACUCACCCACCAUUGUCUCCACACUGGAAGCCUCCCCUUCCUCCUGCCUCAGGUGAGGCUGAAGCAACUGGUCCAGUGGAAGCAAGUGAUCUCCCCAAAAUCCAAAUUCCUCCUCCAGCGGAUCCCGUCCCUGUGCACAAACCUCCACCAUUGCCACAUUGGCCUCCACUCCUACCACCUUCCAGGUGCGUGACUGUGAUGUCUACCACCAGCUCGUACACAUCAGGAGAGGGCUCCUGGGACCUUCAGUCCAUGAUGAAGCCCGAGGGACUCUCCUAUGGUGCCCUGCCCCCAGCCUAUGGCCCAUCUGCUCACCUUCCCUACCACUCCCAUGGCAACUCCCCCAACCCACCUCCACCUCUUGUCCCUACACCCCCAGCUUUCUUCUGCCCACCCACCAUACCUCUCCCUACCCCAGGCUACCCUCCACAUCCCCCUAUCUACAAUCCCAAUUGCCCACCCCCACCUUCAAUCCUGCCCCCCACUCGUGCAGUCCCUCCUCACCCUCCUCCAGGCUUGGCUUUGUCACCAGCCAGCUACCCACCUGCAGCUCUUCCCCCUGACUGGCAGCCUCCUGUCCCUCCCCUCAUUCCCAGACCUGGCAUGCCGCCUGUCAGGGGGCUAGGGUGGGCAGCCUGGAGGAGAUAA